rnacentral:rRNA from 1 species
UACGGGGGGGGCAAGCGUUGUUCGGAAUUACUGGGCGUAAAGGGCUUGUAGGCGGCCAACUAAGUCGGACGUGAAAUCCCUCGGCUUAACCGGGGAACUGCGUCUGAUACUGGAUGGCUUGAGUUUGGGAGAGGGAUGCGGAAUUCCAGGUGUAGCGGUGAAAUGCGUAGAUAUCGUAAGGAAGACCAGUGGCGAAGGCGGGUCUCUGGACAGUUCCUGACGCUGAAGCACGAAGGCCAGGGGAGCAAACGGG